rnacentral:misc_RNA from 1 species
AACCUAGCACACCUGCGGUGUGUACCUGCGGAGGGAUCACUACACAAUAAACAUAUGAAGGCUGCACCGCCAACAGGCGGCAAGGCUGGAGUAUUUUAUUACCCUUGUCUUUUGCGCACUUGUUGUUUCCUGGGCGGGUUCGCCCGCCUCCAGGACCACAUGAUAAACCUUUUUUAUGCAGUUGCAAUCAGCGUCAGUACAACAAAUGUAAAUCAUUUACAACUUUUAGCAAUGGAUCUC